UUGUAUAGGUCCAGGAGCCAGGUAAGCUGUCAUGACUUGAUACUGUACAGGUGAGCCAGGUAAGCUGUCAUGACUUGAUACUGUACAGGUGAUUGAUAGGUGAUCUGUGCACCAAAUAGUAUUGUCAUAGAUACCAUGAACUCCUACUUGAACAAUUAAAUAACUGAAGUACUCUAAUUCUUCUUAUUUCUGUUUCACAGGGGUUUCAGUGUGGCAGAUUGAAAACUUUGUACCCAUCCGAGUUGAUGAUGCUCUGUAUGGAAAAUUCUAUGAAGCUGACUGUUACAUUGUACUAAAGACUGAUUAUGAUGAGACUGACCAGCUGUACUGGCAAAUAUAUUACUGGAUUGGAAAAGAUUCUUCACUGGAUAAAAAGGCCUGCUCAGCCAUACAUGCUGUCAAUCUGAGAAAUUUCCUUGGUGCUGAAACAAGAACAAUA